rnacentral:rRNA from 1 species
UACGGAGGGGACUAGCGUUGUUCGGAAUUACUGGGCGUAAAGCGCACGUAGGCGGAUUUGUUAGUCAGGGGUGAAAUCCCGAGGCUCAACCUCGGAACUGCCUUUGAUACUGCAAAUCUCGAGUCCGGAAGAGGUGAGUGGAAUUCCUAGUGUAGAGGUGAAAUUCGUAGAUAUUAGGAAGAACACCGGUGGCGAAGGCGGCUCACUGGUCCGGUACUGACGCUGAGGUGCGAAAAGCGUGGGGAGCAAACAGGG